UCUAGCUCCGUUAUUCUUGUCCGUUACUUCCAUUUCCUCACCUCUCCCGCUUUGAGCAAAACGGUGCGGCGUUGUGUGAAGCCUGUGCUUUGUUCCGAGAGUCUAGGGAGAUCUUUAGCUCCUGUCUGCCAGUCCUCGAAGUUCCCAAGGUCGCUUUCGUUCCCUGGCGGGCUUCUUCGGAUUUAGAUAAUGUCCAGUUGGGACUGUUACAAAUAGUGCUGUGAUGUACAUUCUUCUACAUGAUUUUUGUGAAGACAAGAGCAAACUUCUCUUGGGACUAUAUCUAGGAGUGAAACCGUUCGGUUAUAGGCCCCUGGCAGCCACCAUUCUACUUUCUGUCUCUCUGAUGUUGACUUCAAGUACCUCAUGUAAGUGGAAUCAUACAACAUUUGUCUUAUUUCACUUAGUAUAACGUCCUCAAUGUGCAUCCGUAUUGUAGCAUAUUGCAGAAUUUUCUUCCUUUUUAAGGCUGAAUGAUAUUCCGUUGUAUGUAUAGACCACAUUUUGCUUAGCCAUUCUUCUAU